rnacentral:rRNA from 1 species
AGAGUUUGAUCCUGGCUCAGAUUGAACGCUGGCGGCAUGCCUUACACAUGCAAGUCGAACGGCAGCACGGGUGCUUGCACCUGGUGGCGAGUGGCGAACGGGUGAGUAAUACAUCGGAACAUGUCCUGUAGUGGGGGAUAGCCCGGCGAAAGCCGGAUUAAUACCGCAUACGAUCUACGGAUGAAAGCGGGGGACCUUCGGGCCUCGCGCUAUAGGGUUGGCCGAUGGCUGAUUAGCUAGUUGGUGGGGUAAAGGCCUACCAAGGCGACGAUCAGUAGCUGGUCUGAGAGGACGACCAGCCACACUGGGACUGAGACACGGCCCAGACUCCUACGGGAGGCAGCAGUGGGGAAUUUUGGACAAUGGGCGAAAGCCUGAUCCAGCAAUGCCGCGUGUGUGAAGAAGGCCUUCGGGUUGUAAAGCACUUUUGUCCGGAAAGAAAUCCUUGGCUCUAAUACAGUCGGGGGAUGACGGUACCGGAAGAUAAGCACCGGCUAACUACGUGCCAGCAGCCGCGGU